AAAAAGACGUUGAUGCGGAAUAGUAGUUGUUGGAUGAUUUGCAGAGAUCUGCUGGGUGGUGUGAAGCAGAAAUCAGAAGAUGAUGAACUCACCUCGGAGUUGCUUGCUGAAACAGUGCUGAAAAAUCAGCAAAAAGUAGGUUAAGACGGAAGCCCACCGUUACAGGGGAUGGAUAUCGGUUUUAUUAAGCCCGUAUUGAAGAUUUAUAAAAAGAGUGGUAUAGCAGAUUUUUCGUCUGUCUCGUUUGAGACAGGCGUUUUUUUAUACACUAAUUUUAGACGAAAAAGAAUCUUCAGGGGCAGUAAAGGGUAUCGAUAAAGUGCAUGCAGUCUUCUGUGUGAAUAAGAGUGGUACCGCGGAAAGCUCCCUUUUCGUCUCUGAU
rnacentral:ncRNA from 1 species